AGAAUCAACGCUGGCGGCGUGCCUAACACAUGCAAGUCGAACGAGAAAGUGGAGCAAUCCAUGAGUAAAGUGGCGCACGGGUGAGUAACACGUGACUAACCUACCCUUGAGUGGGGGAUAACCUAGGGAAACCUGGGCUAAUACCGCAUAAUACCUUCGGGUCAAAGGAGCAAUUCGCUUAAGCGAGGGGGUCGCGGCCGAUUAGUUAGUUGGCGGGGUAAUGGCCCACCAAGACGAUGAUCGGUAUCCGGCCUGAGAGGGCGCACGGACACACUGGAACUGAAACACGGUCCAGACUCCUACGGGAGGCAGCAGUGGGGAAUUUUGCGCAAUGGGGGAAACCCUGACGCAGCAACGCCGCGUGGAGGAUGAAGUCCCUUGGGACGUAAACUCCUUUCGAUCGGACGAUUAUGACGGUACCGGAAGAAGAAGCCCCGGCUAACUUCGCGCCAGCAGCCGC
rnacentral:rRNA from 1 species